GCGUGACGCAGCAACGCCGCUGGGGGAAGAAGGCCUUCGGGUUGUAAACCCCUUUCAGGAGGGCGAAGCCCGGGCGGUGAACAGCCGUUCCGGGUGACGGUACCUCCAGAAGAAGCCCCGGCUAACUACGUGCCAGCAGCCGCGGUAAUACUAGGGGGCUAGCGUUGUCCGGAAUCAUUGGGCGUAAAGAGCGUGUAGGCGGUCCGGUAAGUCCGUUGUGAAAGUCAAGGGCUCAACCCUUGGAUGCCGGCGGAUACUGCCGGGCUAGAGUCCGGAGGAGGCGAGUGGAAUUCCCGGUGUAGCGGUGAAAUGCGCAGAUAUCGGGAGGAACACCUAUGGCGAAGGCAGCUCGCUGGGACGGUACUGACGCUGAGACGCGAAAGCGUGGGGAGCAAACAGGAUUAGAUACCCUGGUAGUCCACGCCGUAAACGAUGGGCACUAGGUGUGGGAGGUGUCGACUCCUUCCGUGCCGUAGCUAACGCAUUAAGUGCCCCGCCUGGGGAGUACGGCCGCAAGGCUA
rnacentral:rRNA from 1 species